rnacentral:rRNA from 1 species
GACGAACGCUGGCGGCGUGCCUAAUACAUGCAAGUAGAACGCUGAAGCCGUAGCUUGCUUCUCUGGAUGAGUUGCGAACGGGUGAGUAACGCGUAGGUAACCUGCCCGUGACCUGGGGAUAACUACUGGAAACGAUAGCUAAUACCGCAUAAGAGUAGAUGUUGCAUGACAUUUGCUUAAAAGGUGCAAUUGCAUCACUACCAGAUGCAGCUUCGGUGUAUGAGCUAGGUGGUGGGGUAACGGACCACCAAGGCGACGAUACAUACCCGACCUGAGAGGGGGAUCGGCCACACUGAGAGUGAGACACGGCACAGACUGAUACGGGAAGGAGCAGGAGGGAUUCUUGGGGAAGGGGUGGGAGACUGACCGAGCAAAGCCGCGUGAGGGAAGAACGGUGUCGGGUCGUGAAGGUCUGUUGUAAGAGAAGAACGAGUGUGAGAGUGGAAAGUUCACAAUGUGACGGUAACUUACAAGAAAGGGACGGCUAACUACGUG